AAUAAGGAGGUGUAUUGGCACGGAAAAUUUUGGAUUUUUAGGAAACUUUUUGAAAGGUUCCUUAUUA
rnacentral:tRNA from 1 species